AAAAUUGUAAACUUAAGUAUUGUGCUUUCCCAAGUUCUGUGAGUCAUUCUAGCAAAUGACCACACUGAUGGGGCAGUGGAAACCACAGAAUUUGUAGUCAUUUAGUCAGAAGCACAGAUGGCCACAAAACCCUGGAGUUUCCGGCUGGUGCCUGAAGUGAGGAGGAUCUUGUGAGGGACCCAACCCUCAACCUGAGAAGUCUGUGCUCAAAGUCUGAAUAAAGUCAGAAUUGUAUUGAAGUGUUUAAGAUAAAUAAGGAGCAGAAAAAAGGCAAAAUUGUGUUUGGAAAACAUCAAGAGGGAAGACCACAUUUGGGGGACUACAGGAACCAAAAUACGGAGUUUGAAUGUUUUUCCUAAGCACAAUGGAACCUGUGGAAGAUUUUUAGCAGUAUUCGCAAAAAAGCUCUUACAAUAUUCCAUUCUGUGAGAAGUUUCGACCAAAAAGACAUCCACAAGUGCUGUCAAAUUGAAAGCACACAAGUCACCUUCCUAAAGAGAAGUUUUCUCAUGCCGUUUGCAAUGGAUUCCUUUCCUCCUGUCUCUACACUCCAGCCCCAGGCAACCAACGAUCUGCUUUGUCACUGUGGAUUAGUUUGUUUGAUUUAGCAUUUUAUAUCAAAGAAAUCAUAGAGUCUGUAUCUUUUUUUGUCUUGCUUCUUUCACUCAGCAUAAUUAUUUUGAGAUUUAUUGUGUUGUAGCAUGAAUAAGUAGUUAAUUUAUAUCUACUGGUGUGAAGUAUUCUAUUGCAUGGAAACAACACAAUUUAUGUAUCUAUUCACACAUUGAUGUACUUGGCAAGUAAAGUUGCUAUGUGGUGUUAUAAUUUGCAUUUUCCUAGUGAAUAAUGAUGUUCAGCAUCUUUUCAUAGAUUAGUUGGUCAUCCAGCUACUUUGGGGAAGUAUCUGCUCAAAUAUUUUGAUUAUUUUAAAAAAUUGGAUUGUUUGAUUUUUAGUAAGUUUCAGUAAACAUUUGAGUUUUUAGAAUUGUUUAUGCAUUUGGUAUACAGGCCCUUUGUGAGAUAUGUGAUGUGCAAAUAUUUUCUCCCAGUCUGUGGCUUGUCUUUUCAUUCUCUUUCAAUGACUUUCAAAGUGUUAUUUUUAAUUGUAAUGAAGUCCAACUCAUUAAUUUUUUUGUUAUGGUUUGUGUUUUCAUUGACAUAUCAAUAAAAUCUUUGCCUAAUUUCAUGCCAUAAAGAUAUUUUUCCUGUAUUUUCUCCCUGAAGAUAUAUAGUAUUUUGUUUUACAUUUAGGUCUAUUACUCAUGUUGAUCCAAUUUGAGUUAAUUUCUGUAUAUGGUAUGAGGUAUUAAGAGAGUUCAUUUUUUACAUGAAUAUUCAAUAACUAUAGCACUAUUCAUUCAAAAGAUUAUCCUGUGUGCACUGAAUUGCUUUAUAAAAACUCAGUUGUUCAUAUAUUUAUAUGUCUGUUUCUAGACUCUUAGUUGUUUCAUUUAUCUGUCUGUCUUUACACAAGUGCCACACUCUAUGAUUAAUGUAGUUUUAUAAUAAGCCUUGAACCUAGGUAGCAUUAUUCCUGUAACUUUAUUUUUCAAAGUUGUUAUGACUCUUUAUAUAAGCUUUAUAAAUGGCUUUUUGAAUUUCCAUAUGAAUUUUGAAAGUGGUCUGUCAUUUCUAUUAAAAAGAAGACAAAAACCCCUGGGAAUUUUAUUAAGAUUGCAUUAAAUCUAUAGGUCAAUUUAAGAAGAAUUGACAUUUUAAAACUAUUAAGAUUUCUAAUUCAUGCACAUAGUAUCUCUUUGCUUAUCUAAGACAUAAUUUUUUCAACGUUUUGUAGUUUUCAGUGUAUUAGUCCUUUACAUGUUUCCAGAAAUUUUUCCUGUUUCACUUAUUUCUAGUUUCUAAAGGUAGAAGUUGAGAUAAUUGAUUUCAGAUCUUAUUUCUUUUCUAAUGCAGAUCUUUCACACUAUAAAUUACUGAUUUAGUGGCAUGCAUAAAUUUCAGUAUGCUGCAUUUUUAUUUUUAUUUAAAAAUUAUUUGUAAUUUAUUUUUUAUUCUUCCUUUGACUCCCUCACCGUUCAGUUUUUAGAAGUACUUUAGCUAGUUCUCUCUCUCUCAAUUUUAUUUAAUUUCAUUGUGAUCAAAAAAUAUACUUUGAAUAACAAAUUUUUUUAAGUUUAUAAAGAUUUAUUUUCUGGUUAAGAAUAUAGUCUAUUUUGGUGACUAAUUCAUGAGCCCCUGAAAAUAAGGCAUAUUUUCAGUUUUAAAUAAAGUGCUAAAUGCCAGUUAUGUCAAUUUGGUCUCCUAAAUGCCAAUUAUGUCAAUUUGGUUUAUGAUAUUGUUUGGCUGUUCUCUCAUGUAUCUUUAUUGACUCUCUAUCUACUUAUCAAUUAUUGACACAGGAGUAUUUAAAUUGCCAACUAUAAUUAUGGAUUUAUCAAUUUCUCCUUCCAGUUCUAUCAGUUUAUACUUUAUGUAUUUUGAAAUUUUGUUGAAUUCUAGGUGGUAAAGCCCAUUAUCACUCAAAUUACGAUCAAAUGACCCAGUUUCUUGGGAAUGCUAACAUUCUUGAAUUUACAUUUUCUAUUGCUAUGCCUCCAAAUUAAUCGCCCCAUAUAAAGAGAUGCUUAGGCUGAGAGUAUGCCCAGGAUGGAAAGAGGAGACAAACACACGAAGUACCCAAUAGCAUUGUCUUCAAAGGACAGGCUCUGAUAGCCGCUGGAGGUGGCAUUGAAGAUUUAAUUUGGAAAGAUGUCAAGAAAACAAAGGAUUUCUCUCUGACCUCCUUUCCCCAAUGGAAAAGAUGAUAUCACUUCGAAGUUUCUUCUAAAACAAAGAAUAACUUUUCAAAAGUUUCCUUUGAAAUUGGAGUCAGUAAAGCUGAACAAAAAUAUCAUAAACACACCUAAUCUUUGUCCACUUCCCAAGCCUGUCCCAAUUUCUGAUGAAUGCUACACUCAGAACCAUUUCUCAUAUAAAGAGAACAUUUGCUAUUUAUUGGAAAAAGUUCCAUUUUUUUGACAAUGUACUGUAAUUCCUUGGGAGUAGGCUCCUAAAUUGUCAAUCUUGGCAUAUGAAAAAUUCAAACGAAUUAACAAUAAAAUUGUUAUAUUAGUCUGUUCUCACACUGCUGUGAAGAAACAUCAGAGACUGGGUAACUUAGAAAGGAAAGAGGUUUACAUGACUCACAGUUCUGCGUUGCUGGGGAGGCCUCAGAAACUUACAAUAAUGGCAGAAGGCAAAACAGAAGCAGGCACCUUACUCACAGUGCAGCAGGAUGGAAUAAGUGCAAGCAAGGGAUACGCUGGAUGCUUAUAAAACCAUCAGAUCUCCUGAGAACUCACUCACUAUCAUGAGAACAGCAUGGGGGAACCGCCACCAUCAUCCAAUUACCUCCACCUGUUCCCGCCCUUGACACAUGGAGAUUAUGGGGAUUACAAAUCAAGGGUAAGCCAUGGCGUUUCAUCAAUUAACAAUAAAGGAAGAAAGCAGGCCUAAAGCCUAUGAUGGAAAAAGAAAAUGGCAGAAGAGAUUGUGAACUUAAGUAAAGUAUUGUAGGUUCAGGAGUACAUGUGCAGAAUGUGCAGUGUUGUUACAUAGAUAAAUGUGUGUCAUGAUGGUUUGCUGCACGGAUCAUCUCAUCACCCAGGUAUUAAGCCCAGCAUCCAUUAGCUAUUCUUUCUUAUGCUCUCCCUUCUAAAAAGUGUUCUACCCUUCACCUUAAAAAAUGCCCCAGUGUGUGUUCUCCACCCCCAUCAUGUGUGCAUGUGUUCUCAUAAUUCAGCUCCCACUUAUAAGAGAGAGCAUGCAGCAUUUGGUUUUCUUUUCCUGCAUUAAUUUGCUGAUAAUAAUGGCUUCCAUGACCUUGCAAAGGACAUGAUUUUGUUCCUUUUUAUGGCUGCAUAGUAUGUAUAUGUACCACAUUUCCUUUAUCCAGUCUAUCAUUUGAUGGGCAUUUAGGUUGAUUCCAUCUCUUUGCAAUUGUGAAGAGUGCUGCAAUAAAUAUACACAUGCAUGUAUCUUUAUAAUAAAAAGAUUUAUAUUCCUUUGGUUAUAUAUCCAGUAAUUGGGAUUGCUGGGUCGAAUCGUAUUUCUGCCUCUAGGUCUUUGAGGAAUGGCCACACUGUCUUCUACAAUGGUUGAGCUAAUUUACACUCCCACCAAUAGUGCAUAAGUAUUCCCUUUUCUCGGCAACCUCACCAUCAUCUGCUAUUAUUUUUUUUGACUUUUUAGUAAUAGCCAUUCUAACUGGUGUUAGAUGGUAUCUGAUUAUGGUUUUGAUUUGCAUUUCACUAAUAAUCAGUGAUGUUGAGCUUUUCUUCAUGUAUUUGCUGGCCACAUGUAUGUCCUCUUUUGAGAAGUGUCUGUUCAUGUCCUUUGCCCACUUUUUAAUGUGGUUGUUUGGUGGUUUUUUUCUUGUAAAUUGUUUAAGCUUCAUGUAGAUGCUGGAUAUUAGACCUUUAUCAGGUGGAUAGAGUGCAAAAAUUUUCUUCCGCUCUUUACAUUGUCUGUUUCCUCUGUUGAUAGUUUCUUUUGCUGUGCAGAAACUCUUUUGUUUAAUUAAAUCCCAUUUGUCAAUUUUUGCUUUUGUUCCAAUUGCUUUUGGCAUCUUCGUCAUGAAAUCUUUGCCUGUGCCUAUAUCCUGAAUAGAAUUGCCUUUGUUUUCUUAUAGGGUUUUUAUAGUUUUGGGUUUUACAUUGAAGUCUUUAAACCAUAUUGAGUUAAUUUCUGUAUAAGUUGUAAGGAAUGGGUCCUGUUUCAAUUUUCUGCAUAUAGCUAGGCAGUUCUUUCUGUACCAUUUAUUAAACAGGGAAUCUUUUCCCCAUUGCUUGUUUUUGUCAGAUUUGUCAAAGAUCAGAUGGUUGUCAGUGUGUAGUCUUAUUUCUGCGUUCUCUAUUCUGUUCCAUUGAUCUGUGUGUCUGUUCUUGUACCAGUAUCAUGCUGUUUUGAUUACUGUAGCCCUGUAGUAUAGUUUGAAUUCAGAUAGCAUGAUGCCUUCAGCUUCGUUCUUUUUGCUUAGAAUAGCCUUGGCUAUUUGGGCUCUUUUUUUGUUUUCAUAGGUAUUAUAAAACAGUUUUUUCUAAUUCUAUGAGGAAUGUCAAUGGUAGUUUAACAGGAACAGCACUGAAUCUAUAAAUUACUUCAGGCAGUAUGGCCAUUUUCACAAUAUUGAUUCUUCCUAUUCAUGAACGUGAACUUUUUUGUGUUUACUUUUGUCAUCCCUGACUCCUCUGAGCAGAGCUUUGUAGUUACCUUGUAGAGAUAUUUCACAUCCUUUGUUAGCUGUAUUCCUAUGUGUUUUAUUCUGUUUGUGAUGAUUGUGAUUGGGAGUUCAUUUGUGAUUUGACUCUCAACUUGACUCUUGUUGGUGUACAGGAAUGCUAACAAUGUUUGC
rnacentral:lncRNA from 10 species